AACGAACGCUGGCGGCAGGCCUAAUACAUGCAAGUCGAACGGAUGUAGCAAUACAUUAGUGGCGCACGGGUGCCUAACGCGUGGGAACAUACCCUUGAGUAAGGAAUAAUGUCUGGAAACGGACACUAAUACCUUAUAAUGACUUCGGUCCAAAGAUUCAUCGCUCAAGGAUUGGCCCGCGUCUGAUUAGCUAGUUGGUGAGGUAACGGAUCACCAAGGCGACGAUCAGUAGCUGGUCUGAGAGGAUGAUCAGCCACACUGGGACUGAGACACGGCCCAGGAUCCUACGGGAGGCAGCAGUAAGGAAUAUUGGACAAUGGGGGAAACCCUGAUCCAGCCAUGCCGCGUGAGUGAAGAAGGCCUUAGGGUUGUAAAGCUCUUUCAAUAGUGAAGAUAAUGACGGUAGCUAUAGAAGAAGCCCCGGCUAAAUUCGUGCCAGCAGCCGCCGUAA
rnacentral:rRNA from 1 species